rnacentral:lncRNA from 13 species
UAGCGGAAAACAUAAAAAUAUACAUUUACUGCAUAGUGCAACUGAAUCUUAUAUCGGCUUCAGACAACGUUGCAACAAUGAGAUGGUGCGCUUUUCUGUUUUUAUCCUGUCUUGAAAACUGUAACAACGAUAGGAAGAGUUAUGGGAGAAAAAGCCAAAAUAUAUUUCGAAGAGCGAGAUCAAUAUCGGCUUGAAAGAUCAGUGCGAUGAAGCCUCGAGACUACAAAAAAAAGCUUGGACAAAGCGUAGAAGCAAACAAAUGGCUCAAAACCAAUUCUACGAAGAAGGGGAAGGACUACUAUACGGCCCUGAAAUAGCAGAGUAACAGAAAAAUCAUAUUACUUGGAAGAUCAAUAUCGUGCACACCAAAGAUGAAGAUUAUUGCGCAGGGUGAUAUUCAUAUAUAACUUUUUUAUUUAUAAUUAAAAAUUAACAAAAUAAAUUGUACGUUCUUAAAACAUGGAUAAAAACAUGGUGCAAAUUUCAAAUUAACUAAAUUGUUACUUUUUGAAAAAAAAUUCUAAAUUUUACUGUUUUUGGCCAAAAAAACCGAAUUUCCCUCUUAAGGACAAUGUUUAGCAAAGAAAAUAACUCAAUAAGCAUUUAGUGAUUAUUAUCUCGGAUUGUGAAACUGUUAUUAAAAUAAUAUAAGAAAAAAUAUGUAAAUAAAUACUUUCAAAAUCAA